UUGAUUAUUACUCUGCUUUUUCUUUAAGCUUAAAGAUGCUCUGCUUUUUCUUCAAGCUUUUUUAAGUCAUUGGCUUGCAAAGAGUUUAAGAAACAGGACAAGAGGCAAUUAGCUUGCACAGCCAGCUUGCACGAUUGGUUUUUAUGGCUUUUGAAAGCUACCCUACUUUUCCUCUGGGCUUAGAAAGCAUUUGGCUUGCAUAAGCGAUUUGGAGCAGCUGUAGCUUGAGCAUGGCAUGUUGUCAUCAUGAUGGUGCAUUAAAUGUUUUAAUAAUUUGUCUGUCUUUUAUUCUCUUCAAUCGGGAGAGUGGGUGCAGAAUUUGAUGGGAUUGGACAUUUAGUUCUGGCUGGACUAUUUGCUGCUGGUUUUUUGGCUAAAGAUGGCUAGUUCUGACGGGUUUCUUCGUUUCUGCCAACUAUUUUGGUUUAUUUGUGACUUUUUUUUUACUCAUUUUGAAUUUUUUUUCCUUGCACUGUCAUUUCCUUUCCUGUUUCGAUAGAUUUUUUUAAUUAUAGCAUGUAACUGUUCCUUCGGCCAGGCAUGCUAUUGCGUGCUUAUUUUUGUCUUGAAGGGUGUACGUGAAUUGUAUUCUGCAUCUUUUCAACGUUUUUUACAUGGCCAUGCCUUUGAGGUCUGCUCUCUUUUCUUUCCGAACACUUCCCUGCCAUGUUUUUAUAUGAUUUUUUCUUAUUGCAAACUUUCCUUUAUUGGUUUCUCAUGCCAUCAUUUGGCUAGUGAUUUUUCUCGUUGUCUCGGUUUAUGACUUGCGUGAUUUUUGGUUCAAUUUCUCUGGUACAGUUUUGUGCUUUUGUGAUACAGUCACAUCCAGAGGUAGAUUGUGGGGCGAUUGGCUAGAAUAUUUUGCUUGCUUUUUACCGUCUGUUGGCUCCCAGCUCUUCAUUCUCUCUGUGAGAUCAUAUUCCAGGAGAAGACUUAUACUUCAAGGAUUUUGUCUUGCCGGAGAGAAUGUUGGCCGUGUCAUAUGGCCGGCGCAUGGAUGGCCACGCGGAGUAGAGGCAGGUUUUUUUUUGCCCACGGUCGGUGCAGCAUGCAGUUGCAUGGGAAAGACACAGCUCUCCCCUUAAACAUGUAGUGAGUUCAUAGCUGUCUUGGGUGGUUUUCCAAUGACAGUUUACAGAGUUGAGCCGAGUUAGCUUCGUCUGGGAUGUGCAGGCUAUGGUCAGAUGCCAAGGCUCCUGGUUUCUUUUUGCCUAAAAAUGCUACUGCUAUGACUAUUAAGGUUUCUUUUAGAUUUUUCUAAUGUAUCUAGCUCAACUGGUUCAAGAGUUUACUCUUCAUAAAUUAUUAAUUUGGAAUCCCACAAA